UUUCUUUCAUGAUUUGUAAAGUAGAAGAGGAACUGGGAAACAAUGAAGGACUACUCGAGGAUUGGAGAACCCCUGUCCCGUAAGUUCUACCUUUCUUUUUACCACCUACCACAUUUGUCCAUAUAUUAUUCAGCUCUUCAGGUGAUGGUUGGACCAUGGAACUAUCCUCUGAAGUAGGUUGGGGUUCACGCCACUCUUCUAUGCUUUUUUGAAAUUCUUCCUGAAAGAAAAAUUAUUUGUCAGUAUGUAAAAAUUAAAUAGGCUUUACAAUGGACAUAAAAUAAUUUACACCAAAUGCUAUAGCAAAUUGGCGCUACGAUGUUAACUUAGACGAAAGAAGUAGUCCCUCGAUUGAAACAAAAGAAAGGGAGUAUACAUUAAGGUUGGACCAAUACAAGUACUAAUAAAGAUCUAUAAUUGGUCUCUGAUAUUGUUUUUCUCUAAUUUGGCACAACAUCUACAAAAAAGUUGCAGAAAUGAAGCUGGACUAGUCUUUGUUAAUUAAUGAAGCACAUACAAGGUUACAUAUAAUAUAUAGUAGCUUCAUUACUUUUUUCAUCUUUUAUUACCUAUCUACUUCAAUAAGUCCAAAAAAUUUAGUUUUAGUGGGUGGUUAUGAGCCUCCACAUUUUCCUGUUAAUUCAGGUUUUGGUUGACAAAUGCCACAUGCUUUCUCCUCUAAAAACGUUCUUAUGAAACUAAUUAAUAAAGUGAAUGAUGAAUAUUCUUCAUUCUACAUAGCCACUGUAUAAAAUUAUUUGUCAAGAAAAUUUAUCUUACUUAAGACUAAACAGAUUUUUCAUUUUAUACAUCAUAGAAUAUAUCUUGUUUUCCAUGCGACGAACAAAAAUAUUCGCCUGCCAGAACAUAUUAUACAUUUAUAAUAUCAAUAAAACUUGCACUUAAGUUUUUGAUCUUAUAUAGUAGUCAAUAUUGAAGUACUAAGUCAAGAUCAUAAGGUGCUAUGUUCAAAUCAAGUGGGCAUAUAUAAUAAAAACACUAGGUGAUUUCUUUUUAUUUGUUACUCCAUAAACUUAAUCAACGUACUAUACAUGGAAGUUAAUAAUCCCAAAAGCUAAUAAUCCAUACAAAGAUUCUACCACCACAAUAUUUUAUCAAAAAUAGAGGCAGAACAUCUAUUCAUCAACUAAUCUUCAAAUAUUUUCUUUAAGCAGUCACAGGAAAAGGGUCAACACUCAUAGAUCCAAACGAACUGACAUAAUCAUCAAUCACAAAACUUGCAACUAUUCACAUCUCAGAAGGGCGAAGAAGAAGAAACAUAGGGGUGUUACAAUAUGUCUACCUAAUAGCAUAAAUAGUGACCCUGUUAGAGUAAGACAAAAACACCAAUGACCAAGUCUACAAGCAAUGACUAAAAUCAACCAGCAUAUGCAAAGAAAAAGUAGCCAAGAGAAAGACAUUGGAAAAUAUGCAAAACCUUGAACAACAUACCUCGAAUUAGUGAGAAACGUAGCUGUUACCACUUUUUGCGGCAUACACUGACCGCGUUGUUACCACUUUUUGCGAAAAGUGGAUCUUUCACGGCCAAUUUCUGAGAGAGAGAGGCGGAGAGAAGAGAGGCGGCAAAGAAUUCAAGCCCUAACUAGAGAG
rnacentral:lncRNA from 1 species